AUUCAGGGGCAGUUGCUGAUGUUGAAUCCAAUGCCAGCAAACUCCAUUCCUCAGUGUCUUUUUUUUUCCCCCUCUAUAAGCAAUUUACAUUGUAAAUGUAUUUUGACAUAGAAACCAUUCUGUAUUGAAACUCUUGCUAUAAGAUGUUUUUAUGAAAGCCUGUAAGUGGUCCUUGGAAUUAUUAUCAGAUUUUUUUAAAGAUGUGUUUACAUGGUGAGUGUUUGUUGCAUAUUAAUUAAAUUUGGUUUUGUAGAAACAUCUGUGUCGUAUCAUGACGGAUCUCUAUGGGCACGGCUUACACACUCACAUGCGUGGCUCACACACCCACUUCUGGGCCCCUGGUAAGACCAAUGUCAACUUUAAGCAAAAGAACAAAUACCCAGCUCCAUGUGUUGGACAGCUCUCUGGUUUUUAUAUAAGACAUUUUUACUUCAUAGAUGACUUUCAAAGGGUGUCACCCUUUCAUAGGAUUUGACUUUUAUUUUGAAAGAAAACAAGAUAGACUACAUACAGCCUUUCAUCUUAAAGUAGAUGUUUUUUUUGUAAGAAUUCAACAAAUAAAUUCAUUGACAUUUCUGGC
rnacentral:lncRNA from 1 species